UCUGUUUCUAGCAAUUCACGUGCAGCUGGAGAGGGGGAAUAUUUCUCACAGCCUUGGAGCCAGCCAGCUCAUUCCUCUCCAGGAUGUUGUUGCCUCUCGCACAUGGUAUUCAAGGCGCUUACUUAUUAUUUCCUAAACUCUUCAUUGCACCCAACUGCAGUGAAUUCAGGGCAGGAGACAAAACUCCUUCAGGGGUUAUUAACGGUUCGAGUGGAAAGAGUGAUCCCACUUGCCAAAACAUCCAUCACAACGGAGGAAAACGCCAUCCCACCCAAUUAUUUUCUUUUGUUGUUGUGAUCAACGUCAUAGCAUGCAAAGUUUGCUCUGGAAAAUUCUGCGUAGAGUAAGGUAUGAAUUAAUUCUGAAGCACGUGGCAACUCAUUUGUAAUCGUUCACGCCUGUUAACAACAAUUAGGCGAGGUCUCAGCAGCACACACGGUGUUGGGAGUUUGGCUAUUGUCCAGUUAACAUGAUUGAUUUUCAGAGCUCCUGGGGACCUCUCAGACCCGAAAAUGGUUGGGACUAAAAGAAGGGAUUUGAUGUCCUCUGAUGAUCAAACUAAAUCAGAUUGUUAUCAAAUCGUAACUCCCCUCGAUGCUGCGUGAGCUUGGAUUGUCCACAAUAGCAUCCUUGGUACGCUUGGGAACGAAAAAAUUCAAUUUCAACGGUAAACACAGUUAGAGAAUGAAAGUAGUUCAGAGGGCAGCUUAUGCAUAGAACCAAGCCCAACUCGUUAGGGCCAACAAAUACCACCGAAGUCUGCAGAACUGAAGCUGCGUCUUAUCCAGCCAAAGGUUGCCAAAUAUAUUUCUUCGCCAAGGUUUGCUUUUUUCUCUUUAGUUAUUGAUCACCUUUGUGAAGGACAGAAUAUUGACAUGUGCAGAAGACCGUAACGAGUCGAAAUAGUUUCAGAUAGAGUCUCUUGGGCAGGGUUUCGUGUUCUGAUUUAAGUGGGGCCCACUGGUCGUUCUGAAAUAGCUUCUGUAACCAGUUUCAUCACAGAUCUAAUCAUCUGAGACAUCGGCCCCUGUAAUUUGACUGAAAAGCGGUGAGACAGCAAAAGCUUCAGUUCUUGAAAAGGAUUUAGCAGCCAGCCAGCGCAUGCUUAUUAGCGAUGCUCUUAUACCAUCUCCUCUCGUCUCUCCUCACUCCAACCACGACUAAAUAAAUCCAGAGGCUUGAGUCGUGGAUGGAGAUGGGGGGGGCAGGAGAGAGGACAGAACAGACUCCUGGGAGAAGACUAUUUAGUUAAAAAAAUAUUAAACAAGGCUUUACUGUCCUACACAAGUUCUAGUCUCAAAUAUCGAGAACUUGAAAAGCGAGUCAUUUUUUUUCAG
rnacentral:lncRNA from 1 species